rnacentral:misc_RNA from 1 species
GAUGAAGAACGUAGCGAAAUGCGAUAAGUAAUGUGAAUUGCAGAAUUCAGUGAAUCAUCGAAUCUUUGAACGCACAUUGCGCCCGUCAGUAUUCUGGCGGGCAUGCCUGUUCGAGCGUCAUUACGCCCCUCAAGUCCCCUGUGGACUUGGUGUUGGGGAUCGGCGAGGCUGGUUUUCCAGCACAGCCGUCCCUUAAAUUAAUUGGCGGUCUCGCCGUGGCCCUCCUCUGCGCAGUAGUAAAACACUCGCAACAGGAGCCCGGCGCGGUCCACUGCCGUAAAACCCCCCAACUUUUUAUAGUUGACCUCGAAUCAGGUAGGACUACCCGCUGAACUUAAGCAUAUCAAUAAGCGGAGUA